UUAAAGAAUAAGCCAUGCAUAUGUUAGUCCAUCCCUUCAAACGGGUAGACUGUGAACGGCUCAUUACAACAGUUAAAAUCGGCACGAAGUUUUCAUUUCGGAUACUUCUAGUAAUUAUGGAGCUAAUACGAGUGUGCACUUCGGUGUCAUUUAUUAGAUUCACCAACCGCUUCGGCGUUGAGUGAUGAUUCUGAAUAUCUUGCAGUCCGCAUGCGUAAGCGGCGGCGGUUCGUGCGAUUAACUGCCCUAUCAACUUUUGAUGGUAGUUCAGUUGACUACCAUGGUCGUAACGGGUAACGGAGGAUCAGGGUUUGACUCCGGAGAGGAUGCCUGAGAAACGGCAACCACAUCUAAGGAAGGCAGCAGGCGCGCAAAUUACCCACUCUCAAUGCGAGGAGGUAGUGACAACAACUAACGAGACUGUUCCCUCUGGGAACUAGUCAUCGAAAUGGGUAAAAUUCAAACCCUUUAACGAGGAUCAAUGAGAGGGCAAGUCUGGUGCCAGCAGCCGCGGUAAUUCCAGCUCUCAAAGUGUAUGUCAUUAUUGCUGCGGUUAAAAAGCUCGUAGUUGGAUCUGAACCCACGUGCAGAGUGCACCAUAGCGUGCCACUGUGUGCGGGGUUAAUUUCGUCGGUUCUGCCGGCGAGAGUUACUCUGAAGAAAUCAGAGUGCUCAAAACAAGCGUUUCGCUUGAAUGUUUUUGCAUGGAAUAAUGGAAAAGGACUUCGGUUCCUUACUGUUGGUUUCGGAAUUGGAUUAAUGAUUAAGAGGGACCAACGGGGGCAUGCGUACCGCUACGCGAGAGGUGAAAUUCAUGGACCGUAGCGUGACGAUCUACAGCGAAAGCAUUUGCCAAGAAUGUCUUCAUUAAUCAAGAACGAAAGUCAGAGGUUCGAAGGCGAUUAGAUACCGCCGUAGUUCUGACAGUAAACGAUACCAUCUAGCGAUCCGGUGGCGGUAUUACCGCCUCGCCGGGGAGCUUCCCGGAAACGAAAGACUUCCGGUUCCGGGGGUAGUAUGGUUGCAAAGCUGAAACUUAAGGAAUUGACGGAAGGGC
rnacentral:rRNA from 1 species